GCAGAGAGCAGCGGACCUCUGUGAGAGCAGUUUUUGUCAGAGAGGCAGAGACGCCGAAGCAGCAUCAGCGCCGGGCGUACGUGGAGCCUUGGAGCAUCACUGGGGAGAGCGCACACAUCCACCACAAAGAGCAGGCUGAAAUAACGCGACGACACUUGAACGAUUAUUUUAUAAACGCGUCCUCUUACUGAUUUUUAUUUUUAUUAUCUUUGUGUUGGUUUUAUUUUCAUUCUUAUACUGGAGGAGGCGAAAAAACAACCGAGCAAAGCUUCACUGCGGCUAAUCAAUUUCCUUUUUCCAGACCUGGGAAUUACAAUGAAACAUGUAGGUGACACAUUUCCAUUCACUAUCCGCGAAUCACAAUAGGGAUCCCAGCGGAGGCGACAAAGAAGGAAGCAGGGGAAAAUGGUGACGGGUGCCGCAUCUAUAGGAUCAGCAUCCUCCUCUCCGUGGAGCCCCUGCGUAAAAGAAAAAUCAGUGUGAAAGCCGGUGAAGAAGUGGACGCGAACCUGUGAGAGACGGGAAGACUUGAAGAAACUGAGUAAAGGAUCUGAUCCGGGCCGUCCCUGUGACCAAGUGGAGGUUUUCCUGGAGGACUUUCUCAGCUGUUUUCAGAGCCGAGGCUCUGAACACUUCCUGCUCCUUUUCCACUCUUUUUAUUUUUAUGUGGUUGGAAUCACGAUUUCUGACUGCUCUUUUGUUCCAAUCACGACCAAAACCAGGUGCCAAACCGACUGUGUCAAGAGAAGAAGCAAAAAAAUCUACAACUCUUCAUAUAAAGAGUUUAUUUAGUCACCCAGCUUUGGAUACAUCACCCACAAAUACAUUAAAACAUCCAACGCCCCAUUAAAACCACAUUGAAUUUCAAGAUAACGUCUGUAAAAGUUUAUAUAUCCAUUCCGUUUGGUCGGUGUUUGCUGCUUUUAAUGUUAGAACUUCGUGAUUUUUCUCACUGGGGCGGCGAUCAGUGCAUUAUUGGUUCAAAGUGCUUUAUAGACAAAUCCUCCAGCUGUCGGUCUGCUCAUGGUUAUGCAUAGCAGAGGAGGCGUGUGGUAAGCUGUGAUAACUCUGACGGCGUUUGACUGACAGGCAACACGAGCCACGUCAAACAGAUAAACAGAGGCAACACCACCGCCACCGCUGCUGCUAUCUCAAAGGCUCGGAGGUACGCCGUCGUUUCAGUCUGCGCUGUGAAACACUGUUGACACUUUGCCUAUCUCCUUCUUCCAGUCGCUUCUACGAGAGAGGCCUCUCGCCCUUUUGUCGUCUUCUGUUUCUUCCACACGUGGCUCUUGAUUACGCUGCGCCGAACAACCUAAAAAGCCCCCUUUAUCUACUCCCAGUGACCUCUUACACCUUUUUUGCGUUCUUCCUUUUAUUCUAUUAAAAACAUGCAAUUUAAAACCUUUCACUGUACUUUCAUUU